rnacentral:rRNA from 1 species
CCUACGGGCGGCUGCAGUGGGGAAUAUUGGACAAUGGGCGAAAGCCUGAUCCAGCCAUGCCGCGUGUGUGAAGAAGGCCUUCGGGUUGUAAAGCACUUUCAGUGGGGAAGAAAGCCUUGGGGCUAAUACCCUCGAGGAAGGACAUCACCCACAGAAGAAGCACCGGCUAACUCCGUGCCAGCAGCCGCGGUAAUACGGAGGGUGCGAGCGUUAAUCGGAAUUACUGGGCGUAAAGCGCGCGUAGGCGGUCUGAUAAGCCGGUUGUGAAAGCCCCGGGCUCAACCUGGGAACGGCAUCCGGAACUGUCAGGCUAGAGUGCAGGAGAGGAGGGUAGAAUUCCCGGUGUAGCGGUGAAAUGCGUAGAGAUCGGGAGGAAUACCAGUGGCGAAGGCGGUCUUCUGGACUGACACUGACGCUGAGGUGCGAAAGCGUGGGUAGCAAACAGGAUUAGAUACCCUAGUAGUC